GACUAAACAAAUACCUGCUAACGAACCGAACCCCCACCAAUAACUAAGAUUGCUCGGGGUUGGAUAAUCUAUCAAAUGUUGGUUAAGUGUGGAGUAUAUAGGUUGUUUAAGAAGAGAGAAUCGUUGGUUCCUUAUAGAGAUUGGAAGAGC